GAUCUUUCAUUAUACCCGAAACUAAUCGAUCUAUCUUAGAACAGGUAUGUAUAUAACAUGACCUAACCAGUAUCUGUUGCAAAAGAUUUGGGAGAUUUUAAGAUAGCGGUGAAAUGCCAAUCGAGAUUAGUGAUAGCUGGUUUUCAUGCGAAAUGCAUUAUAGUGCAGUGAAGUUUAUUAACAAUCAGUCAAUUAUAUAAUAUAGAUUGAUUAUUGACCAUUAAGUUUAAGUUAUCUGAAGAUUAAUGGAUUUAAGGCUUUAGACAGGUAUAUUAUGGGAAGGUAGUAUACCAAAAUGGAAAGAGCCAUAACGUUUUGCCAAGGUCCCUAA
rnacentral:rRNA from 1 species